rfam:Schistosoma margrebowiei strain Zambia genome assembly, scaffold: SMRZ_contig0009222
GCGUCGGUGGUUCAGUGGUAGAAUGCUCGCCUGCCACGGGGGCGGCCCAAGUUCGAUUCCAGGCCGACUCA